UCCGUAGGGUGCGAGCGUUAAUCGGAAUUACUGGGCGUAAAGCGUGCGCAGGCGGUUUUGUAAGCCCGAUGUGAAAUCCCCGGGCUCAACCUGGGAAUGGCAUUUGGGACUGCAAGGCUGGAGUGCGGCAGAGGAGACUGGAAUUCCUGGUGUAGCAGUGAAAUGCGUAGAUAUCAGGAGGAAUACCGAUGGCGAAGGCAGGUCUCUGGGCUGACACUGACGCUCAUGCACGAAAGCGUGGGGAGCAAACAGG
rnacentral:rRNA from 1 species